CGUGCUGGGCGAAGCCUGACCGCAAUGCCGCGUGCAGGAAGAAGGCCUUCGGGUUGUAAACUGCUUUUGUACGGAACGAAACGGUCUGCCCUAAUACGGCGGGCUAAUGACGGUACCGUAAGAAUAAGCACCGGCUAACUACGUGCCAGCAGCCGCGGUAAUACGUAGGGUGCGAGCGUUAAUCGGAAUUACUGGGCGUAAAGCGUGCGCAGGCGGUUAUGUAAGACAGUUGUGAAAUCCCCGGGCUCAACCUGGGAAUUGCAUCUGUGACUGCAUAGCUAGAGUACGGUAGAGGGGGAUGGAAUUCCGCGUGUAGCAGUGAAAUGCGUGGAUAUGCGGAGGAACACCGAUGGCGAAGGCAAUCCCCUGGACCUGUACUGACGCUCAUGCACGAAAG
rnacentral:rRNA from 1 species